GAACGCUGGCGGCGUGCCUAAUACAUUCAAGUCGAGCGAACAGACGAGGAGCUUGCUCCUCUGACGUUAGCGGCGGACGGGUGAGUAACACGUGGAUAACCUACCUAUAAGACUGGGAUAACUUCGGGAAACCGGAGCUAAUACCGGAUAAUAUAUUGAACCGCAUGGUUCAAUAGUGAAAGACGGUUUUGCUGUCACUUAUAGAUGGAUCCGCGCCGCAUUAGCUAGUUGGUAAGGUAACGGCUUACCAAGGCAACGAUGCGUAGCCGACCUGAGAGGGUGAUCGGCCACACUGGAACUGAGACACGGUCCAGACUCCUACGGGAGGCAGCAGUAGGGAAUCUUCCGCAAUGGGCGAGAGCCUGACGGAGCAACGCCGCGUGAGUGAUGAAGGUCUUCGGAUCGUAAAACUCUGUUAUUAGGGAAGAACAAAUGUGUAAGUAACUAUGCACGUCUUGACGGUACCUAAUCAGAAAGCCACGGCUAACUACGUG
rnacentral:rRNA from 1 species